rnacentral:rRNA from 1 species
GAUGAACGCUGGCGGCGUGCUUAACACAUGCAAGUCGAACGAAGCAUUUAAGACAGAUUUUUUCGGAAUGAAGUUUUUUAUGACUGAGUGGCGGACGGGUGAGUAACACGUGGGUAACCUGCCUCACACAGGGGGAUAGCAGUUGGAAACGACUGGUAAUACCGCAUAAGCGCACAGCUUCGCAUGAAGCGGUGUGAAAAACUCCGGUGGUGUGAGAUGGACCCGCGUCUGAUUAGGUAGUUGGUGAGGUAACGGCCCACCGAGCCGACGAUCAGUAGCCGACCUGAGAGGGUGACCGGCCACAUUGGGACUGAGACACGGCCCAGACUCCUACGGGAGGCAGCAGUGGGGAAUAUUGCACAAUGGAGGAAACUCUGAUGCAGCGACGCCGCGUGAGUGAAGAAGUAUUUCGGUAUGUAAAGCUCUAUCAGCAGGGAAGACAGUGACGGUACCUGACUAAGAAGCUCCGGCUAAAUACGUGCCAGCCGCCGCAGUAA